AGUGAACGCUGGCGGUAGGCCUAACACAUGCAAGUCGAACGGCAGCACAGUAAGAGCUUGCUCUUACGGGUGGCGAGUGGCGGACGGGUGAGGAAUACAUCGGAAUCUACUUUUUCGUGGGGGAUAACGUAGGGAAACUUACGCUAAUACCGCAUACGACCUACGGGUGAAAUCAGGGGAUCUUCGGACCUUGCGCGAUUGAAUGAGCCGAUGUCGGAUUAGCUAGUUGGCGGGGUAAAGGCCCACCAAGGCGACGAUCCGUAGCUGGUCUGAGAGGAUGAUCAGCCACACUGGAACUGAGACACGGUCCAGACUCCUACGGGAGGCAGCAGUGGGGAAUAUUGGACAAUGGGCGAAAGCCUGAUCCAGCCAUACCGCGUGGGUGAAGAAGGCCUUCGAGUUGUAAAGCCCUUUUGUUGGGAAAGAAAAGCAGCAGGUUAAUACCCCGCUGUUCUGACGGUACCAAAAGAAUAAGCACCGGCUAACUUCGU
rnacentral:rRNA from 1 species